rnacentral:rRNA from 1 species
GGGUAACCUCGCCUGUAAUGACUGGGAUAACUCCGGGAAACCGGAGCUAAUACCGGAUAGUUCCUUCGAACCGCAUGGUUCAAGGAUGAAAGACGGUUUCGGCUGUCACUUACAGAUGGACGCCGCGGCGCAUUAGCGUAGUUGGUGAGGUAACGGCUCACCAAGGCGACGAUGCGCUAGCCGACCUCGUAGAGGGUCGCAUCGCGCGCACACUGGCGACUCGAGACACGGCCCAGACUCCUACGGGAGGCAGCAGUAGGGAAUCUUCCGCAAUGGACGAAAGUCUGACGGAGCAACGCCGCGUGAGUGAUGAAGGUUUUCGGAUCGUAAAGCUCUGUUGUUAGGGAAGAACAAGUGCAAGAGUAACUGCUUGCACCUUGACGGUACCUAACCAGAAAGCCACGGCUAACUACGUGCCAGCAGCCGCGCGUAAUACGUAGGUGGCAAGCGUUGUCCGGAAUUAUUGGGCGUAAAGGGCUCGCAGGCGGUUUCUUAAGUCUGAUGUGAAAGCCCCCGGCUCAACCGGGGAGGGUCAUUGGAAACUGGGAAACUUGAGUGCAGAAGAGGAGAGUGGAAUUCCACGUGUAGCGGUGAAAUGCGUAGAGAUGUGGAGGAACACCAGUGGCGAAGGCGACUCUCUGGUCUGUAACUGACGCUGAGGAGCGAAAGCGUGGGGAGCGAACAGGAUUAGAUACCCUGGUAGUCCACGCCGUAAACGAUGAGUGCUAAGUGUUAGGGGGUUUCCGCCCCUUAGUGCUGCAGCUAACGCAUUAAGCACUCCGCCUUGGGGAGUACGGUCGCAAGACUGAAACUCAUAGGAAUUGACCGGGGGCCGCA